UACGUAGGGGGGCAAGCGUUGUCCGGAAUCAUUGGGCGUAAAGAGCGUGUAGGCGGUCCGGUAAGUCGGCUGUGAAAGUCCAGGGCUCAACCCUGGGAUGCCGGUCGAUACUGCCGGACUAGAGUUCGGAAGAGGCGAGUGGAAUUCCCGGUGUAGCGGUGAAAUGCGCAGAUAUCAGGAAGAACACCCGUGGCGAAGGCGGCUCUCUGGGACGGUACUGACGCUGAGACGCGAAAGCGUGGGGAGCGAACAGG
rnacentral:rRNA from 1 species